UCCCAAUCUCCUGGCUUGUAUUGGCAUUCCGUUUUCUAUCUGUCUCCGUGGGUGGGUCUCGACGGACGCGAGCGCUAAUCUUGGACCUAAUUUGUUCUUGCGGGAGCGGGUUGCCUGCCUCUAGGGAACAGGUGGUCUGAUUAGGGUUCUUCCUGGAUUGGCUGAGUUUCACUUAACCUUUGAUCAUAUUAGGUUCUGAUAAGGCUAGCGCCUUAGUUUCUUUCUCGCUGCUCUCCGUUAAUUGGUGUGGUGAAUCCUUGGAGAAAUCGUUCGCCAUGUCGACGGCGCUCAAGGCCUUCCUCAACAGCCCGGUCGGCCCCAAGACCACCCACUUCUGGGGUCCUGUGGCAAACUGGGGUUUCGUCCUUGCGGGUUUGCUUGACAUGAACAAACCUCCUGAAAUGAUAUCUGGCAAUAUGACGGCAGCCAUGUGCGUCUAUUCAGGACUCUUUAUGAGGUUUGCGUGGAUGGUGCAGCCGCGGAACUACUUGCUUCUGGCAUGCCAUGCAUCCAAUGAGUCAGUUCAGCUCUACCAGUUGUCUCGGUGGGCUAGGGCCCAGGGGUAAGCUUACUGCAGCGCUGAGUUCAUUUUUCUUCUUCAGCCAUCCGCAUUGCAACAUCAUGUUUGGUAUCUGGAGAAGAAAGAACCAGAGGCUCAGCAGUAAAAGCAGUGUAUAAACCUGCAUUUACCUUCCCAAUAAGAGUGACCUGCAGCAGCAGUUUGAAAUGCUGAAUCUGCUUGACAAAUCCCAGAAAAUAAAUUCUAUGCUGUAUAUGUUUACAAGCGCCUUUCCCUCCAUUCUAUGGCCCUCCUGUCUCGUAAUUCGAGUUUCCAAAUAUCGCGUUCUUGUCUCAUUUUCUUUCGGAUCUGAUGGCUGUAAAACACACAUUACAUGGUUUGAAAAUGGUGAUCCCAAUCCCUUUGCCCUCCA